UGGGGAAUUUUGCACAAUGGGCGCAAGCCUGAUGCAGCGACGCCGCGUGAGGGAUGAAGGCCUUCGGGUUGUAAACCUUUUUCGCUCAUGGUCAAGCCGCAGCUUUGGGUUGUGGUGAGGGUAGUGGGUAAAGAAGCGCCGGCUAACUACGUGCCAGCAGCCGCGGUAAUACGUAGGGGGCUAGCGUUAUCCGGAUUUACUGGGCGUAAAGGGUGCGUAGGUGGUCUUUCAAGUCGGUGGUUAAAGGCUACGGCUCAACCGUAGUUAGCCUCCGAAACUGGAAGACUUGAGUGCAGGAGAGGAAAGUGGAAUUCCCAGUGUAGCGGUGAAAUGCGUAGAUAUUGGGAGGAACACCAGUAGCGAAGGCGGCUUUCUGGACUGCAACUGACACUGAGGCACGAAAGCGUGGGUAGCAAACAGG
rnacentral:rRNA from 1 species